AACGAACGCUGGCGGCAGGCCUAACACAUGCAAGUCGAGCGAGACCUUCGGGUCUAGUGGCGCACGGGUGCGUAACGCGUGGGAACGUGCCCUUUUCUACGGAAUAGCCUCGGGAAACUGAUCGUAAUACCGUAUACGCUCUUCGGGGCAAAGAUUUAUCGGAUUAGGAUCGGCCCGCGUUGGAUUAGGUAGUUGGUAGGGUAAUGGCCUACCAAGCCUACGAUCCAUAGCUGGUUUGAGAGGAUGAUCAGCCACACUGGGACUGAGACACGGCCCAGACUCCUACGGGAGGCAGCAGUGGGGAAUAUUAGACAAUGGGGGAAAGCCUGAUCUAGCAAUGCCGCGUGAGUGAUGAAGGCCUUAGGGUUGUAAAGCUCUUUUAGCUGGGAAGAUAAUGACAGUACCAGCAGAAGAAGCCCCGGCUAACUCCGUG
rnacentral:rRNA from 1 species